rnacentral:lncRNA from 10 species
GGCCAGAUGGCAUACUGGGAUCAAAAUGGCCCACUGGGAUCAACCAUGACCCACACUCCUUUCAGCUACUGGCCAGCGAGAGGCUCGUGUGGGGACAGUUGAGGUUGCUUGGGUCAGUGGUUUAGCUAACGCUGAGGUAGGGUGGGGACUGAGAGGGAAGCCAAGGGAAGUGAGAGUCCACUCCUUCCUGCCUGGCCAAAGGGGUGUGCGAAUGGAGAUCACUUUCAACAGGGCAUGCCCUUUGUGUUCUCUGCACUAGGAAUGGGGCUCCCUUGCCCGGUGCCCCUGGUGAGCAGCAGCGCAGGUCUGUGAGAUAGUGCUGAGGGUAAUGGGGCAGCCUAAGUCAAUGUGGAGGGCAGAUUAGAGCAAAGCUAACUGGCAGUGGGAAGGAGAGCCAGUAAGUCCGGACUCCGCCAUAGGUUCUAACCACUGCCCUAUCCGCCCAGGAAUUGGCCGUGGGAGACAAAUCUCCAGCCCCCCAACCUCCACCCCAAUCUAGCGUCCUUCCCCCUCUCGGCGGGCAGAAGACAACGCCCCCUCGGGGACUACCACCCCACCAGGGCGGGAGCACUCCCUCCUCCUCCCACCCCUCGAUCCAUAAAGCCAGGAGAUGCUACCGCGAAGGGAACCCUGGGAGUGUGCCUUGAAUGACCCCCAAACACAUCUGGAUUUUCGGAGUUCAGGCCAGCCCCCGAAACGGACCCCAGGGAAGUCCGCCAGAGGGAGGGAGCGGGGGAAGGGAGAGGCAGCACGGAGUUCAGGGCCUGUCUUUUAGGACUCCCGGCCCCACGACUAGGACCGUCCCAAACUUCCUGUUUCUUCCGGCCGCUCUGACCCCGGGGCUGCGGCUCCGAGAUAGCUCAGGGCCUGGAAGUGCAUGCUGGGACCAACUACAUAAUCCUUGGUAAGAAAAGGAGGUGGCCCUGACAAGUGCAACUCGAGAAAUGCAAUGCUGUAGAGUCCAAAGGUGUCUGACUUGAACGAAAUGAUCCCACUGGGGGACAAUGCAACAUAUACUCCAGGGUCAUGUUUUGUCAUGAUGCAGCAAGGAGAUCUGUUCCUAACUUGGACUUGGUUGUCUAACCCUCAUCUCUUCUCUUUAUUACAAGGUGAACUGGAACUUACACCUUGCUUCUCCUGUUCUCAGGAGACUUGGACUGGAACUAUACCACCAGCUGUCUCGGAUCUCCGGCUUGCAGACGGCACAUCAUGGGACUUCUCAGUCUCCAUCACUGCAUGAGCCAAUUCCUUAUAAUAAAUCUCUGUCUCUCUCAUUAUACAUAUCUUGGAGAACCCUCAGGAACCUUGACUAAUACACAAGAUAAAUUCAGUUUUAAUUGUAUGUGAGGCAUUGUGGUGGAGAUAUAUACUAGAUACCCACACGCAAGUGGGCAAAGGUCUGGGAUCAAAAUAUCUAUUUGGGAAUCUUCAGCAUAUGGGUGAUAGUUGAAAUCAUAAAAGUGGUUGAACUCUUCUGGGACUCUCAUAUAUUGUAAUAGGAUGAACGGCAGAAAGAACAGAUACAGAUACAUGUAGGUUGGUUAAUCUGAUGGUUGGAAUGUGGACUUCGUAUUCGAUGUACUUGGUGUGUGUGUCUUUGUUUAUAAUGAAGUCAAUUACUCAGUAAUGUGCAUAUAAUAAAUUCCGUAGUGUGUGUGGUUCAGUCACUCUACUAGUUUUUAAAACUGUUCCGCUAAAGCUCUCAGUUGAAAGAACCCAUGGUGGUGUUGUUAUACAUAAAUAUCUUUACUUGAUAGACCUCAUUGACUACAGUCAGGAUUCUGGUAGAUAAAUUGGGCAGAUGAGAUGACCUCCCAACCCUUCUCUGGUGCUUUCUGAAUAAGGCCUGUGUUUGUCUGGCUGUACCAUACAUUUUAUUUUCUCUUUCAUUCAUUUCUAAGCCUCAGCAACAACCCCCUUCUCCAACACCUUGAUAUAAAUUGCCUUCAAACUCUAAUAGAACUUGAGAAUGUUGAUAACCUCAAACUAUGGUAUCCUGAUGUUUCCAUAGUAACUAAUGCACACCAAGGGGGAAAAGAUGCGAGAAUAAAUGAGAAUAGCAUUUUAACAAAAUAAGUGAGGGGCAAAGAGGCUUUAGACAUGUUAUUACCUCUUGUUUAGGAAUAUGAAAAUAUUCAUCUCCUUAAUAAUGGGGUUAUAAAAGUUGCUACAAUGAGACUUGUCAGUAGCCAUUUAUAUUUCAUUUUUCUCUAUAAUCAUCAUCAUCAAAAGCAUUUAAAUGCUUCUCUGCCCAACAAUACUGUAGAGAGUGAGUUAAAUGGACAUAGUUGCCAUUUUCCUGUGAACCUGCAAUCACAAUAGGACAGGGUAGGCCAAUGUCUGUAUUCCAGUCUCCCCAGCAGAGUUUUGACCUAGUGGAUAUUAGGAGGAAUGGGGAUUCAAAGAAGACAAAUCAGUGUUGUGGCAUUUGUUUGCUUUGAUACAAGACUUUACUAGCAUCUCAGCACUUCCUUGGUUAAAGGGUGGGAGAAUAGGGUGCUGCUGUUUCUUCUUUCCUAUUUCAUAAAAAGGAGGCUUUCUGUAAGCCAGGAAGAGAGCACUCUCAAGUAAUCAAAUUGGCUGGCACCUUGAUCUGGGACUUCCAGUCUCCAGAACUCUGAGAAAAUACAUUUGCGUUGUUUAAGCCAGUGAGUCUGUGGUAUUUUGUUAUGGCAGCCUGAGCAGCCUAUACACCGGUCAGUGUACAUGCACAACCGAUUAAGCUAUUGUUAGAUAGGAAUAGAUUUAGUAAGGGUGAAGAGAAGACUUUUUAUUUUAUGUAUUUGUUUGAGACAGAGUCUCUCUGUCAUCCAGGAUGGAGUGCAGUGGUGUGAUCAUGGCUCACAUCAGCCUUGACCUUCCAGGCUCAAGUGAUCCUCCCACCUCAGUCUCCUGAGUAGCUGGGACCACAGGCAUGUGCCACCAUGCCUGGCAAAUUUUUGUAUUCUUUGUAGAGAUGGGGUUUCACCAUGUUGCCCAGGCUGGUCUUGAACUCCCUCUUGCCUUGACCUCCUAAAGUGUUGGGAUUAUAGGUGUGAGCCACCAUGCCCGGCCUAAUAUUUUUAUUUUAGAAUUAGAGAGAUUAGGCCAGGCACAGUGGCUCACGCCUGUAAUCCCAGUACUUUGAGAGGCCGAGGUGGGUGGAUCACUUGAGGUCAGGAGUUCGAGACCAGCCUGACCAACAUGGUGAAACCCUGUCUCUACUAAAAAUACAAAAAUUAGCCAGGUGUGGUGGUACGUGCCUGUAAUCCCAGCUACUCAGGAGGCUGAGGCAGAAGAAUUGCUUGAACCCGGGAGGUGGAGGUUGCAGUGAGCCGAGAUCACGCUAUUGCAUUCCAGCCUGGAUGACAGAGUGAGACUCUGUCUCAAAAAAAAAAAAAAAAAAUUAGAGAGAUUAAAUUUCCACAGAUAAGUGUAAUAACUGGUGGGGUAUCUAUCUAACCCAGAACAGAAACACAGAAAGUAGAGGGACAGAAAGUAUACUGAACAGCUCCAGGUAAGGUAGAUAGCAUGGCUGGGAUUCCGCUUAACCUGAUACUUUCCCCAUUUAGAAGAGAAAGGUUAAAAAGCACAUUCUUCUUCUUUGUCUUCUUUUUUUUUUCAUACUCAUAUCACCUUUUGAAAAUUAGUCUUCAGUUUAGCUUUUGUGCAAUGAAUUCAGAGGUUAGAAGCAAGAUGUUUUGGGAGGUAGGGUGAGGCUCAUCAGUGAGAAUGAAAGCCAAUUUCCUAGACUUGCCUGGGGAAGGUAUAUUAGAACGGGGGCCAUUUGUUCUCAAUGUUCAACUCCCACUUAUGAGUGAGAACAUGCAGUGUUUGGUUUUCUUUUCCUGUGUUAGUUUGCUGAAGAUGAUGGCUUCCAGCUUCAUUCAUAUCCCAGCCAAGGACAUGAUCUCAUUCCUUUUUAUGGCUGCGUAGUAUUCCAUGGUGUAUAUGUACCACAUUUUCUUUAUCCAGUCUAUAAUUGAUGGGCAUUUGGGUUGGUUCCACAAACCUGCACGUUCUGCACAUGUAUCCCAUUUUUUUUUAGAAGAAAUAAAGAAAAAAGAAAAGAAAAGAAAAAAAAGAAUGGGGACCAUUUAUCUUGGAUGGCCAGAGGUUUGGUAGACAUCCUCAAGUUUAGACAGGCCUUAGAGUUCAGAUGAAAAAGGAGUGUAUCUUCAUAUUAGAGGCUCAGUUUGGACAAGGGAAAUUUCAGUGUGUGUGUGUGUGUGUGUGUGUGUGUUUAAAAUUUGUGAAAUUUGAUCUUACAGUCACUGGGAGAAGGCAGAAAUUUUGAGGAAAAGGAGUCCUCAAUAAAGC